rnacentral:rRNA from 1 species
AUUGAACGCUGGCGGCAUGCCUUACACAUGCAAGUCGAACGGCAGCACGGGGGCAACCCUGGUGGCGAGUGGCGAACGGGUGAGUAAUGCAUCGGAACGUGUCCUCUUGUGGGGGAUAACCAGUCGAAAGAUUGGCUAAUACCGCAUGAGAUCGCAAGAUGAAAGCGGGGGACCGCAAGGCCUCGCGCGAGAGGAGCGGCCGAUGCCGGAUUAGCUAGUUGGUGGGGUAAAAGCCUACCAAGGCGACAAUCCGUAGCUGGUCUGAGAGGACGACCAGCCACACUGGGACUGAGACACGACCCAGACUCCUACGGGAGGCAGCAGUGGGGAAUUUUGGACAAUGGGCGCAAGCCUGAUCCAGCCAUGCCGCGUGUGUGAAGAAGGCCUUCGGGUUGUAAAGCACUUUCGGACGGAACGAAAUCGCGCGGGCGAACAUCCCGCGUGGAUGACGGUACCGUAAGAAGAAGCACCGGCUAACUACGUGCCAGCCGCCGCGGUAAUAC